UACGGAGGGUGCUAGCGUUGUUCGGAAUUACUGGGCGUAAAGGGCGCGUAGGCGGCCGUUUGCGUCGGAUGUGAAAGCCCGGGGCUCAAUCUCGGAACGGCAUUCGAUACGGGACGGCUGGAGACCGGGAGAGGAGAGUGGAAUAGCCAGUGUAGAGGUGAAAUUCGUAGAUAUUGGCUGGAACACCGGUGGCGAAAGCGGCUCUCUGGCCCGGUUCUGACGCUGAGGCGCGAAAGCGUGGGGAGCAAACAGG
rnacentral:rRNA from 1 species